rnacentral:rRNA from 1 species
AUGGCAUUGCUUUUUCGCUUCAGUCAACUGAGGAACAGCAUAUGGAGUAGUUGUCCUGCCAGGUUGCGUAUGCAACAUACUGGAUUGUCACCUGGAACACUGCUUGAUCCAAAAAGCUAUGAGAAGCGCCUUUUCUCAACAAGGGUUCAAGAGACAGCUAGUUUGCACAGAACUGAUCUUGGUCCGUGUAUUUCUGGAAUUCAGCCAUUAAAGUUUCAGCAGACUUCUGAACAUGAGCAAUCUGCGCCUCUUCUUAUCUUUGAUAUUGAGACCACUGGUUUUUUCCAGAAGACCACUGGUAAUUUCCAGAAGGGUAAUAGAAUCACUGAGUUUGCAGUCCGUGAUCUUUGUGGAGGAAAGAAUAGCACAUUUGAAACUCUCAUUAAUCCUGAGAGGGAUGUUCCUGGGUACCUAAAAAAAGUGAAUAACAUUAACACUGAUUUGGUCUGCAAACCUGAUGUCCCGAGGUUCAGUGAUGUACUUCCAUUACUAUUGGCAUUUGUUCAAAGCCGCCAAACUCCUGGCAAACCAGUUAUAUGGGUUGCUCAUAAAGCAAAUACAUUUGAUGCUCCUUUCCUUGCCCAAGAGUUUAACCGUUGUUCAGCUCAGAUGCCUGAAGAUUGGCUGUUUGUUGACUCCCAUUGCUUGGCAAGGAAGUUGCCGAAGCUUGAGCCAUCAGAAGAUAAGAAGCAUCUCCUAAACUUGGAGUCGCUAAGCAAACGCUAUGGCAUCUCUGCGGAAGGCUCUGCUCAUAGAGCAAUGAAAGAUGUGACGACAUUAUGUCAUGUUUUCCAGAAAAUGAGUUUUGAUCUAAAAUUGACAUAUGAAGGCCUAAUAAAUGAGGCCACCAAGGCUAGUUAUUUCAGCAAGCUUCUUAACAUCUCAAGACUCAGUGGCUUCUUUUGUUUGAAAAGUAGCUGCAUUUUGUCAGCGAAAGCCCUACUCUGUGAACUGAACCAUUGGUAUUUACCCUGCAAGCUCCAGAUACUGGCGAAUGAGAGUAGCAUCUGCAGUUUAGCAGGAGCCUAUGCGCUCCGGGAAUUUCUUCUGCGUCCAUUUGUCCCGGACUCCUUGGCAUUUUGGUGUUUUGGUCUCUACGUACUGAAACGAAGCGCAGUUCUCCUGUGUUUUCAGGAAAAAAAAACCCUGCAAUCAGCAUGA